GGAUAGGGUACGCUGGGUGGCGGAGGCUUCUGAGGAUGUUGCUGAGCCUUUUCUUCAAGGUUUUCCGGAGGUUGUGAAUUCCUCUCCGUUGGAAGAUCUUCCUUCGAACUUUGUCGAAGGAAGUUACGUUACCCCGGUGACGUUCAAGCGUGGAGAUUUGUACGCGAGGGGUUAUCUAAUUGACUGGUGGCGCCACAAGUAUCCUACGCGUAGUAUAGAUGACUUAGUUGAUUUCCUUGUUCGUGAUUACUGUGAUGAUCUUAGGCUUUUUCCAGAUUCGUAUGUUAGAAUUGUGCGAGGGUCUUAGAACCUUCGGCGUUUUACGGUCGGAGGAUGUUUCUCAUUUUUUGUUGUAAGCUUGUGUUAUGUACAUUGUAUACGGUUAAUAAAGAUCAGACAUUUUUACU